rnacentral:lncRNA from 1 species
GGGAGACUGAGGGUCCAUCAUGCCUGCUCAAAACGUGACAAAGACUCAAGGGUCAAGGUUGGCCUGGGAGGUCAAGUUCUGGGGGCUGCCCCCUUGAACCUUUACUGGGUAGAUAGCCUUGCUCACAGUUCAAACCUUUCCAUCUCAAGACCCACCCAAGAAAGGCUCACAAAUGAUAUCUCUGACUUCUGAAGGAAGAACCCUACCAUGAAGCGGGUGGCUCACUUCUGUCUUUUGCUCUGUUCCAAACCUCCCACUUGACCAUACAUGCCAAGGUUUGGAAGUGAUGGAGAUUGCACUUUAGCUCAUCCAGUGACCCAAUCUCUGUAGAUGAACGUUUGUGGCCUCCUGAAACAUGGCAGCAUGUCCACCCCCUUGCACCUUUGAUUUUGUGGCUUCUCAGCCUCCCUUUGUUCACCAACCUUUAAACAUGUUGGUUUCUAUACGGUGACUUCAGCGUCCGUGUUUCCCUGUAUUUGACAACUCUAAAGUAAACCUGGAGCCUUACAGCCAACUUUCAUGUUGGUACAGAUUUUCUGUGACUAGAUCUCCCUCAGACCAUCCCUCUUCUUGCUACUGGGUCCGGUGUUUGCCCCGAUUAUUCUCCCUGAUCCAGAAAAGUGGACUUUGGGGGAUGGGGGUGGGGGACACAUGAGCAAGCAGCAGCCUCUAGAAACUGCCCGCAGAGGGCUGGACGAGGACCCAAGGCUUCAUCGGCUGUGGAGCACUGAGUCACUGAUGGACAUGGUGACACGAUGGGAAUGCUUCUAAAAACCUCUUUCAGGAGGGAUUUUUUUCUUUUCAGACAAAAUACCACCUCCUCUCAGUUUCUCCCCAACAUAGCUCAUUCCUCUACAGGGCAAAUCAUAAAGGUGAAUUGCUCGUCUGUUAGCCAGCCGCCCUCCAGCUCCAGAGUGUGGCCUCAGAACUCCCUGGAUGACGCCUCACCUCCUGGCCAGAUGGUGAAUGGGGCUCUGUGUGGAGGGGAUGCAGUCUGGGCAGAGCAGGCAAAGCCGGGAGGCAAGUGGC